UCCAUCUUCUGCAUCAACAAGUUGUUUGUGAAGAAGAGUUUCUUUCUGCCGGAAAGCCUGGGGGAAGAGAGGCAUUCAGAACAAGGCUGCUGAGACUGGAGACACUGGAGUGUUUGGGUAUGGAGUGCUCAGGCCACUGCUGGUGGGAUUUUCCUGUUACCAAUAGAAGUCUCAACCAACGUGAAUACAGCACUGAGAACUGCCCAGGAGAUACAGGAGGAAGUGUUCCAGGCUCAGCUACUGGGGUGGAUGAACAAAAAGGAGACAGUGUGCAAUUCCAGGAUCGGCGCUGACAUUUUCACUUUUGUUUGCACUGUCUGCUUCUACUUACUUAGAACCCUAUUGUCUCGAGAGGAAGACUAAUGAGGGCAAAUACCCCAGAGUGGAAUUGCUGACUUGUAUGAUUUGGAAGCUGAGAGAUGAGAGAUCAUGCCAACCAACAAAUAGUUAUUGAACAUCUUGAAUGGAUCCAGGACAGCCCUCAGUGCUAUAGGGAACAUAAGAAAUGUUGAAAAUCUCGGAGGUUCUUAUCCUGAUUUCACCUGGGAUCAUUCAAUAUGCAAUUUUCUGAAGGUUCUACUGGGGUUGAAGGGUCCAAGUCGUCUUCACUCUGAUGUGUGGCAGUGGGUGUGGGAUGUUGGCUGAGAUGCCUCAGUUCUCCUCCACAUGAUCUCUCACCUUCUGUAUGGCUGGUGCUGAAGAUAGAUGAGUUCUAGAAAAUGACAGGUGGUUACUUCAAUCACAACUGCUGUUUCAAAUGUGAUCUACUUACUGGAGCAAAUCAACGUACCCUGACACCUGGAUUCUGCCACAUAUUCCUUUAUCUGAAUAUUUCCUAGAUCUGCUCUUCACACUUGCCUGUUGCGUACAGAGGUUGGAUAUGCCCAUGGAGAAUGAUGGUGCAUUGCUGGAAGCUUCAUCUGAUGGUUACUCCUAUAGCAGCUGCAGUUUCCAGAUGUGGUCUCUUGAUGGG